AACGCACAUUGCGCCCGCCAGCAUUCUGGCGGGCAUGCCUGUUCGAGCGUCAUUUCAACCCUCAGGCCCUGCCUGGUGUUGGAGGACUGCGCAUGCAGCCUCCCAAAGACAGCGGCGGCGGCGCCCCAAAACCGAACGCAGUAGUUACUUCUCGUUCUGGGUCUGGGUCGUUGUCCUGCCGGAAAACCCCCUUCUUUUACAUGGUUGACCUCGAAUCAGGUAGGAAUACCCGCUGAACUUAA
rnacentral:misc_RNA from 1 species